GAGAAACACAGGAGUGUUAUACGGACAAGUCGAGGGUGGUCGUCUGUGCUUCUGACUUCUCCAGGUUGCGGCCAAAACCAAAAGGAAACUAUCCGGUGCUGGUAAGGAGCCCAUGAGGAAAAGAAGAUGGAGCUGAAAAAAGUUGUAUUUUAUAUGUGGACGCGAGGGAAGGACUGCAAAAAUGAGAAAAGAGGCACGUCGAACACACACGCAUGAACGCGCCCUGAAUCACACAUCUUCAUCCUCCAUCCACCUCACUCAUCUGUACAUCUGGCCACAAUGAGGGAGAGUGCCUUCAGCUGCUGUGCCCAGUCUUCAAAUUUAUACCCGAGAAACACCAAGUCAGUUUGAAC